rnacentral:lncRNA from 1 species
CCCUCUUGCCUGGAGCAUUAACACAACGUGGCUGCAAAGUUAGUCCUUUCCCGCUACCAUCUCCUGAAUACUGGGACUAACUACACGUAUGCACGAACCUGCCCAUCUUUGCCUCUGUUAACAGCUGCCACUGUCUCUUCACGACAUGAUGGCUGACCUAGGUUGGAAGGAACAGAGCCAGUUGGCCAUGGACUGAAACUUUUGGAACUGAUUCUGAGGAGUUAAUGUUUCCAUGAAUAUCUCAGAAGGAGAUGUGGACAAACGAACAGUUAUCUCACUCCUGUAGGUUGGACUACAGUGAUCACUGAGUAGGAGCUUCGUCUUUAAAAUCUGGGGUGUGCUGUUAUGUACUGGAUCUGUGAAAAGCUGAAUCAUGAAUCAGUGAGUGUGCGGAUUGGAACCCAAGUUGCUCUCUGGAUAGAACGAAAGGAGUCGUGCCCCAAGAAGAUGGAGAGGGAAGUUAUGAAAUGCUGUGACCAAAUAACAAAUGCUGAUGUUUGGGGAGAUAACUGUUUCCCAUAGGAAAUAGAGUGAAUGCGAUGUCUUUCUUUUGUGAGGGAUUCAUAGACCGCUUCUCAACGCUUGUUACAUGUUACUCCUUUUUUCGAGAUUUUUAUUUACCUAACUGGGAAAGAAACCAGAACAAGGUUUUCAUUGAAUUCUGAUACAGGUAUUUAAAGACUUACGGACAAGAUAUAGAAGAAGAAGUGGUAAUUAACUGAUUAAAGAAGUACAGUUUAUAUCCAGUAGACAGACAGGCUCCAGACAUCCUUAGUGCUGUCUUAGCAUCAAAGGUUAAUCUACCUAAUACUUGUCAUCCUGAAAUGCAUGGUGGAACAUCCAACAGACAAGAGCUACUUCAGGGAAGGACUAUGAUUUUUGUCGUGGAAGACAUUUAACACAGGGCAGCUCCUGUGCACUUACAUGAUAGAUAUUGCUCUUCCGGGGACUCUGAAUGCUCAUCCCACUUUCAGCUCACUAGGCACAUCGAACUAGAAAUUUUAUCAUCUCGUGAAUUAGUCCAAUACCUGAAGGAGCAAGAGAACCAACACCCAGUUGACAAGAAUAUGACCUGUUGAUUGAAGACCAUUAAGAAAGUAACUUGAUUCAGUUGGACUGGACUUUUUUAUUCUAUUGAAAAAGGAAUUUAUUUCCCCUCAGUGAACGUAACAUGAUCAACAUUUUGAAAGUUGUGAACAUGCAUAGUUCUAUAAUUUACAAAAUAAUUAUAAAAAUCUGAGUAUGGAUGCAGCAUAAUUUCAGAACAGAAUAGCCAUCAUACUUUUUAUAUAUCUUAAAUUCGAGUUUUCAAGAGUAUAUUUCUAUGUUAUAUCCUUUGAUUAGUACAAUAUAAAAUCUACAUCUAAUAUGUACUUCAGGUUUUAUUAGAUCAUGCCAUAUUACUGUACAAUUUGGACUUUUCCAUUUUUAUAUAAAAUGUAACAUGCAUUGUACAUUAAUAUUUAUAUAUCUUGUUUAUUUAUAUAUCUUUAGAAUUAAUUUCUGCCAAUUAUUUUCUUUAUUUGAAUACUUGGGGUAUCAUAAAGGUGCUGUUGAGGUAUUCUCAAUAUGCUUGUACAACUUCCUGCCUGUAGUUAAUAAAUGUGGAUAUUUCAUUAAACAAUUGAAAUAUAA